rnacentral:lncRNA from 1 species
AGGAGAAACAACAGGCAAAUAAACAACUAUACAAUAAAGUUGAAGGAGAGAAGAAGUGCCAAAGAAGAAGCAGAGAAGAUAAGAACAUAAAUUGUGUCCCCCACAAAAUUAGUGUGGUCCUACUUUCUAAAAUUCAGAAAAGAAUAAAUAGCUUUGAACAUAUCAAAGCAAUAUAAAUCCAAGAAUUAUACUGGGAUAAAAAGUCAAAGACACGGAGAAGAUCAUCCAAUGAUUCUCAGGCAGAGAGGAGUUGGACCAUCCUACUUUUUUUUCCCUGUUACUUCAUCUUUACUAUUUCACAUUUUCGGCCAACAAAUCAAGAGCUCCUGGCCCAGCUCAGACUAACAUACUUGGCCAUCUCUGAUCCUUUCUCGUUUCCAACUAACAAGCUCUGCUGUGUGACUGCAAUUCUCUGCCUGUGCAUGAAUGUAUGCCUUUGGAUUCGCUCUGGAAGAGUAACCCUUGUGGGUUACGACCACAAAAAGGAACGCAUAAUGAUUGUGCUGCUGUCUUCUCCAUACCUCUAGCUGCAGGCUAGGCAUCGAAAACCAAUGAAAUCAGGCAGCUCUCCUCAGCCCAGAAAUUAAGAUGUCGGAAUGUUAACAGAGACCCACAGACGGAACAACAACAACACUUGUUCAUUGUUGGAAAGAGAACACUGCCUUUAUGCUCCUUGGAUAAACAAACACUGUGCGUCUGUCAGGUGGUGGUGGCCUGGAUGUUGUAAGUACACAAUCAAGCAUCAUCUACCAGCAAAUUCUUUAACUCAGGGCUUGCAAGGAAAUUUCCAGAGUUCCUUCCCCUGUAUACAUGUUACCAGACUCUUCAGCAGCAUCUGCCCUUUUGCCUUUCUGGUACCGUUUACAAGCUGAAAACACUUCUAGAAGCCAAACCCCCAACUUUCAAGGAAGGUGAGAAAUGCUGUUUCUUGCUUGAGGCUCUCUUUCAACUGCCUUUCUCUUCAAGGAAUAAUAAUGACUCCCUUCAAGAAGGCUCUGGCAGGAAGGGUGAUGAAGAGAGGUAGAUCCUUCUCCCUCACAGAGGAAGUUGAAAUUAGCCUAAUUAGAUUUUCAGAGCACUUAGAUACCACAGUGAUAGACGCCAUCUAAAUACAUAGACAGAUAGGAAGAGAGCACAGAUGUUGUGUGAGACCAGUGAUUUAGUUCCAAGUCAAUACUCUUAAUUAACUGCAAACUGUUUAAAUAUAUAACAUUCCCAACAUGCAGCCAGUAACACCUAUAUAGUACUCUUCAUCUGUGUAGCUCAAAGUAGAAAGCAAAAUAACCCCCAUAUCCAAAAGUGUAAACUGGUAAUAAUAAUUACUUAUAUUUAAUGCUGAUACACUGCCUCUAAUUCCAGGCCCCCUGAUGAUAUUACACACUUUGUAGAUAAUUGUCUCUUGUCCAAAACAGGAAUGCAGCCAUCAGUGAGAAGCAAAAACAGCUGCAAUCUAAAAGAUACCAACUCUUCUGUAUAGAGGGAAGUGUUUUGUUCUGCUUUAAUAGCAACUGGCCUAAGAAAAAUGCAUCUGCUUCCUACACUGGUUGGUGCCUGGUUGUUGUUAAUAGUUGUAGGCUAAGCCCCUUGUCCAAAGUGAAGGUUGGGAGGAGGCUCACUUCUCACUUGGGGAAGUCAUAGUCUGUGACCUUCAGAAUGAAAUAAGCCUUAAGACACAAGCAAAAUGCCUUGUGGUCAUCAAGCCACAUCCACUCAUAUUUGGGAACCCCUUGCCUGUGGAAUCUCCAAGACCAUUGACAGUACUCACAGAUGACAUUCUUUUUUUCUAGAAGUUGAAGAAAGACACAUAAUUGGCUUGUAGUAUAUUCUCUUAUUGGUCAUACAAGAAACUCCACUGAGUAAAUAUGGUCCCCUCGCUUGUUGUUUCAGAAGGUGACCAAAAAGCCUGUAAAAAAAAAAUGAGGACUAGCUCCUCAAGGGACAGACCUUGUGAUUGAGACUAUGAGAAUCUUUCUUUUUUAAAGCAAUAAAUAUUUGUGAAUGUACACUGAGGAAUCAAUUGUGUAAUUGCAGUAGCAGUCAGAAUUUUUAUUUAAUCAUACAACAAAUAUUUAUGAAGCAUUUAUUUUGUGUGAAAUCGUGGAUGUACAGUAAUAAAGUAUGUACCUAC